rnacentral:hammerhead_ribozyme from 1 species
AUCCAGCUAACGAGUCUCAAAUAGGACGAAACGCGCGUUCUGUAU